rnacentral:lncRNA from 1 species
GCCAUCCAGAUGACCCAGCCUCCAUCCUCCCUGUCUGCAUCUGUAGGAGACAGUGUCACCAUCACUUGCCGGGCGAGUCAGAGUUUUACCAAUCAGUUAGCCUGGUAUCAGCAGAAACCAGGGAAAGCUCCUAAGCUCCUGAUAUAUAGGGUAUCCAGUUUGCAAACGGGGGUUCCAUCUCUGUUCAGUGGUAGUGAAUCUGGGACAGAUUUCACUCUAACCAUCAGCAGCCUGCAGCCUGAUGAUGUUGCAACUUACUACUGUCAACAGUAACUCC